rnacentral:rRNA from 1 species
AGUGAACGCUGGCGGUAGGCCUAACACAUGCAAGUCGAACGGCAGCACAGUAAGAGCUUGCUCUUACGGGUGGCGAGUGGCGGACGGGUGAGGAAUACAUCGGAAUCUACUUUUUCGUGGGGGAGAACGUAGGGAAACUUACGCUAAUACCGCAUACGACCUACGGGUGAAAGCAGGGGAUCUUCGGACCUUGCGCGAUUGAAUGAGCCGAUGUCGGAUUAGCUAGUUGGCGGGGUAAAGGCCCACCAAGGCGACGAUCCGUAGCUGGUCUGAGAGGAUGAUCAGCCACACUGGAACUGAGACACGGUCCAGACUCCUACGGGAGGCAGCAGUGGGGAAUAUUGGACAAUGGGCGCAAGCCUGAUCCAGCCAUGCCGCGUGGGUGAAGAAGGCCUUCGGGUUGUAAAGCCCUUUUGUUGGGAAAGAAAAGCAGCAGGUUAAUACCCCGCUGUUCUGACGGUACCCAAAGAAUAAGCACCGGCUAACUUCGUG